GUCUACGGCCAUGCCACCCUGAACGAGCCGGAUCCCGUCUGAUCUCAGAAGCUAAGCAGGGUCCGGCCUGGUUGUUACUUGGGUGGGAGACCAACUAGGAAGACCAGGCGCUGUAGACA
rnacentral:rRNA from 1 species